rnacentral:lncRNA from 1 species
GGGGCAAAACGGACCAAAAAAUUCCCACAGAAAAGUCCCAUUUCGAAAUUCAAAUUCGAAAACCCUUUCAUCAUUCAAGCUAAACAUCUUUUCUUGAGGUUUCAACCCCAUUCCGGAAGAGGAAAGGGGAGAAACGCGUGUUUGCUUUUCCGCUGCCGCGACUGCAAACUGAAAGGGACAUCGAGGAAGACGACAACAAAAUCCAGCCUAGUACUGAUUCACGCGNNN